AGAGUUUGAUCCUGGCUCAGGACGAACGCUGGCGGCGCGCUUAACACAUGCAAGUCACGGGGGCCCCGCAAGGGGCAACCGGCGAACGGGUGCGUAACACGUGAACAACCUGCCCUCGUGUGGGGGAUAGCCGGGCUAACGCCCGGGUAAUACCGCAUACGUUCCUCUGGGGGAGUCCCUGGGGGAGGAAAGCUCCGGCGCACGGGGAGGGGUUCGCGGCCUAUCAGCUAGUUGGCGGGGUAACGGCCCACCAAGGCGACGACGGGAAGCUGGUCUGAGAGGAUGGCCAGCCACAUUGGGACUGAGAGACGGCCCAGACUCCUACGGGAGGCAGCAGUGGGGAAUCUUGCGCAAUGGUCUAACGACUGACGCAGCGACGCCGCGUGUGGGAGGACGCCUUUCGGGGUGUAAACCACUGUUGCCCGGGACGAACUGCGCGAUUUCUCGCGCGUGACGGUACCGGGUGAGGAAGCACCGGCUAACUCCGUGCCAGCAGCCGCGGUAAUACGGAGGGUGCGAGCGUUGUCCGGAAUCAUUGGGCGUAAAGGGCGCGUAGGUGGCCCGGUCAGUCCGUGGUGAAAGCGCGGGGCUCAACCCUGCGUCGGCCAUGGAUACUGCCGCGGCUCGAGCACUGUAGAGGCAGGCGGAAUUCCGGGUGUAGCGGUGGAAUGCGUAGAGAUCCGGAAGAACACCGGUGGCGAAGGCGGCCUGCUGGGCAGUAUGGCUGACACUGAGGCGCGACAGCGUGGGGAGCAAACAGGAUUAGAUACCCUGGUAGUCCACGCCGUAAACGAUGGGCACUAGGCGCUUGGGGGAGCGACCCCCCGAGGGCCGGCGCUAACGCAUUAAGUGCCCCGCCUGGGGAGUACGGCCGCAGGCUGAACUCAAAGGAAUUGACGGGGGCCCGCACAGCGGUGAGCAUGUGGUUUAAUUCGACGCAACGCGAGACCUUACCUAGGCUUGACAUACACGGGAAACCCUCGAGAAACGGGGCCUCUUCGAGCCCGUGCACAAGUGCUGCAUGCUGUCGUCAGCUCUGUCUGAGAUGUUGGUUAGUCCCGCAACGAGCGCAACCCUUUUUCUAGUUGCCAGCCGUCAUGGCGGAACUCCUAGAGACUGCGGGCUAUCCGAGACGGUAGGGAGUACCUUCAGGUCACGCAGGCCCUUAUAAUGAUGGCUGGGGGGUUCA
rnacentral:rRNA from 1 species